rnacentral:rRNA from 1 species
AGAGUUUGAUCAUGGCUCAGGAUUAACGCUGGCGGUGUGCCUAAUACAUGCAAGUCGAGCGAACCUUUUAAUUUUUAAUUUCUAAAUUUUCAAUUUCCAAAGUCUGGUGCUUAUUACCAGCUUAAAAAUUGCAAAAUUGAUGGAUUAAAAAUUAGCUGGUUAGCGGCGGACGGGUGAGUAACACGUUGGUACCUGCCCUUUAGUGGGGAAUAACUGGCCGAAAGGUCGGCUAAUACCGCAUGUGAUCUACGGAUUAAAGCCUUCGGGCGCUAAAGGAGGGGCCUGCGUCUGAUUAGCUAGUUGGUAAGGUAAUGGCUUACCAAGGCGACGAUCAGUAGCUGGUUCGAGAGGAUGAACAGCCACACUGGGACUGAGAUACGGCCCAGACUCCUACGGGAGGCAGCAGUAAGGAAUCUUCCACAAUGGACGAAAGUCUGAUGGAGCAACACCGCGUGCAGGAUGAAGGCUUUCGGGUCGUAAACUGCUUUUAUAUGGGAAGAUUAUGACGGUACCAUAUGAAUAAGGACCGGCUAACUACGUGCCAGCAGCCGCGGUAAUACGUAGGGUCCAAGCGUUAUCCGGAAUCACUGGGCGUAAAGCGUGUGUAGGCGGCAUGUUAAGUGAGAUGCGAAAUCUUGUGGCUCAACCAUGAGACUGUAUCUCAUACUGGCAUGCUUGAAGACGGCAGAGGCAAGUGGAAUUAUCGGUGUAGCAGUGAAAUGCGUAGAGAUCGAUAGGAACACCAAUGGCGAAGGCAGCUUGCUGGGCCGCCCUUGACGCUGAGACACGAAAGCGUGGGGAGCGAACAGGAUUAGAUACCCUAGUAGUCC